rnacentral:rRNA from 1 species
UACAGAGGUCCCAAGCGUUGUUCGGAUUCACUGGGCGUAAAGGGUGCGUAGGUGGUGGGAUAAGUCGGAUGUGAAAUCUCGGAGCUCAACUCCGAAACGGCAUUGGAAACUAUCCUGCUAGAGGGUUGGAGGGGGGACUGGAAUACUUGGUGUAGCAGUGAAAUGCGUAGAUAUCAAGUGGAACACCGGUGGCGAAGGCGAGUCCCUGGACAACACCUGACACUGAGGCACGAAAGCUAGGGGAGCAAACAGG